CCUACGGGGGGCUGCAGUGAGGAAUAUUGGUCAAUGGCCGGAAGGCUGAACCAGCCAAGCCGCGUGAAGGACGAAGGUGCCAAGCAUUGUAAACUUCUUUUGUCUAGGGAUAAAAUCAGGCUCGAGAGCCUGACCGUGGGUACUUGAUGAAAAAGCAUCGGCUAACUCCGUGCCAGCAGCCGCGGUAAUACGGAGGAUGCGAGCGUUAUCCGGAUUUAUUGGGUUUAAGGGGGCGUAGGCGGACUUUAAAGUCAGGGGUAAAAGCCCGGGGGCAAACCCCGGCGAGCCGUUGAAACUGGCUGUCUUGAGAUGUCGAGAGGUAUGCGGAAUGCGCAGUGUAGCGGUGAAAUGCUUAGAUAUUGCGAAGAACUCCGAUUGCGAAGGCAGCAUACCGGCGGCGAUCUGACGCUGAGGCACGAAAGCGUGGGUAUCGAACAGGAUUAGAUACCCGAGUAGUC
rnacentral:rRNA from 1 species